AGAUCUUAAAAAUUAAUUUUUAUAGUCCCAAGACGGUGGAGGUAAAUCAUCUGCCGUUUAAAAUAGGGAGAAGUUUGGAAGCCGACCUUCUCAUCAGGGACAUAAACAUCUCGAGAAACCAUGCUAGCCUUAGUUUCAACAAGGACACCCAUAGUGCUAGAAUAACUAAUACUGGGAGUUUGAAUGGAGUCAGUGUGAACGGAAAGAAUAUUCCUCCAGGAGAAAGCUCUGGUGACCUGAACAAUAAGGAAUAUAGGAUUCAAUUAAUUUAAUAUUAUAUAUUUUAAUGGGUUCAAAAGCAAUAAAAUGUAAUAUAUUUCCUUAAAGGGA